UUCUGAAAACUGCACCUUUGAUAGCAAUCUCCUUGUCUGAUAAGAGAUGUUGGGUCACACAUAAGGCCAAAAAAAAAAGGUGUCAAAGAGCUUGGCAUAUGGCAAGUAAAACUACAGAAGGCAGGCAUUUAAGGAGAGGGAGAGAUUCUGAGAAGAAACGGACAUGGCUAAGGAUCUUGUAGUUAAGGAAAUAAGAGGAGUUUUAAUAAAAUUGCUGUAGUUGAUGUGCAAUAAAACGUGCUACUUUCAUUUGAUAAAAUGGAAAAGUGUUAGGCAUGCUGAUUUCACAUGCCUCUACUGAUUUACUGCCUUUUCAGAAUUUACACAGAAGAGUGGUUUAAAAUAGCUGAAUUUCUAGGGUUCCCUCCGCUUAAGAAGAUGGCGUCUGUUUCACAGCCCUGUGUUCCAGUCAGUGAGCAGUGGAUCCUAUGAAAUGUGUACUUUUCAGAAAAGGCUCGCUAGAGGCUGGAAAUGCCUCGCAGAAGCUCAGAGCCAGGAGAAGAACAGUCAUCAGAAACCUAAGUAGGAGCCAAGUUGAAACAUGAGGUAUAUUGCACAUUCUUGAAGUGAUAAUGUAAGAAUGCCAUUUUGGUAUCUUUGAAUGAGGUCCAUACAUAGAAUUAUGGAAUUGCUCUUGGUGAGUUUUAACAAGGAAGAAUGUCAUGAACACUUUCAAAGAAAACCUGUUUUGUCCAUACAUACGGAAAUAAUAGUUUGUGAAUUAUG